CCUACGGGUGGCUGCAGUGGGGAAUAUUGCACAAUGGGCGAAACCCUGAUGCAGCAACGCCGCGUGAAGGAAGACGGUUUUCGGAUUGGAAACUUCUGUUCUUGGUGAGGUAUAAUGGCGGUAACUAAGAAUCAAGCCACGGCUAACUACGUGCCAGCAGCCUCGUUAAUACGUAGGUGGCAAGCGUUGUCCGGAAUUACUGGGUGUAAAGGGAGCGUAGGCGGGAAGCCAAGUCAGCUGUGAAAACUACGGGCUUAACCUGUAGACUGCAGUUGAAACUGGCUUGCUUGAGUGAAGUAGAGGUUGGCGGAAUUCGGAGUGUAGCGGUGAAAUGCGUAGAUAGUCGGAGGAACACCGGUGGCGAAGGCGGCCAACUGGGCUUUAACUGACGCUGAGGCUCGAAAGUGUGGGGAGCAAACAGGAUUAGAUACCCGUGUAGUC
rnacentral:rRNA from 1 species